GACGAACGCUGGCGGCGUGCUUAACACAUGCAAGUCGAACGGAAAGGCCUGCUUUCCCUUGUGGAUUGCGGGUACUCGAGUGGCGAACGGGUGAGUAACACGUGAGUGAUCUGCCCCCAACUUGGGUAUAAGCCUGGGAAACUGGGUCCAAUUCCCGAUAGGACUGCAGGGUGGUGCCUGUGGUGGAAAACGUUCUUCUAGUGGUUGGGGAUGAGCUCGCGGCCUAUCAGCUUGUUGGUGGGGUAAUGGCCUACCAAGGCGGCGACGGGUAGCCGGCCUGAGAGGGUGGACGGCCACAUUGGGACUGAGAUACGGCCCAGACUCCUACGGGAGGCAGCAGUGGGGAAUAUUGCACAAUGGGCGGAAGCCUGAUGCAGCGACGCCGCGUGGGGGAUGACGGCCUUCGGGUUGUAAACUCCUUUCGACCGCGAGGAAGCCACCUGGUUGGAAGGGUGGUGACGGUAGUGGUAGAAGAAGCACCGGCUAACUACGUG
rnacentral:rRNA from 1 species